UGGUUGAACACUGUGGCAAAAUAACUGGAUACAUAGUUAGAAAUAUAUUCUGAAAAGUUGCUAAACUGUAAUUUGUUACUCUGUGAUACUUAUAUAAAUUAUAUGAAAUGCUUUACGUUUAAUACACAAUUAUGCUCGUAAAUAUCUUGUUUAUUUGUCAGUAAACUUACACGAUAAUAGUCCAGUCUGGUCUCUGGUUGUUGGUGUCAUAAGACUGUCUCAUGAGAGAAUAGACCCUCUUGCUAUGCGUAGGCGAGAGACUAUUUGAUUGUCAGACAGUAAUAUUCAUUUGUGCGAUAGUCUGUUUGUACCAGUCCUUCGGUUCCACUUCCUUAGUGCUAGUUUAUAUGUCAACUUUAGAGGUUCUGCCUCUAACUUACAGAGAUAAUCUGUUCUAUAAACUACAUGACAGGAGUGUGUUGAUUUCCACAGACUAGAGCGUAUCUAAAUACCCCCUUACAAUUUUCAUCUCCUCCCCCGAUUUAAAUAUUUAUACGUUUAAUUCUUGAGGUUAAAGAUAGUGAGGUGUUUUAAUCCCUUCAACCUAAUUGAACUCUUCCACCUUAGAUAAUAACUUCCGAAUAUAAAGUACACCCGCGUUUAAACCAUUCUCCGUUUUGUUUUAGACUAGUAAUUCUAGUCUAUUGAGG
rnacentral:lncRNA from 1 species